CUGUAUAUUCCUUAAUUUAGAAUAGAAAAUUUUAUCCUUAUAAAUUAAUCAUUGCUGGUAUGAUUUGGGGUGUAAAAAUUAAUCUAAAACAUAAUUCUUACCCUCAAAAACAUGUACAUUUAAUGAUGAAACCAGAGGUGAUAGUUUAACUGUAAAUGUUAAUAAUCAUUUAUUUGAAUAUUGGCUUUGCACAGAACACUGGGGUUAGGAAAGAACUGAUCCUGUUUUCUUGAUUUGGGUGAUGUUGCAAAUUUCCUUUUUAGGUUUCUUUAAAUUGGAAAAGGGUAGGGAAAGGAGUAGGAGUGGCAAGAACAGACCCUUGUUGCUUGGAGAGCCUUUGAGGGAACAUCUAGGGCCAGAAAGUCAGGUGCUCAGACGGAGGUGGCCUGUGCACUGUAGGGCCAAGAGAGACGUUCUUCUCGAUCGCCUGAACGUGAGCUUCUUCCCCUCUUCCUUACCUCAUUCAUCCUGUGGAUAAAUAGGAAAUGAACAGCUCUCCACUCUCACCGAGAAUAACUAGCUUCUGUCACGUAGACAACACAAGCCAUAACCAGAACGAAGGAAAUGGGCUGCCGUGUCCCCACCUCCUCCCCUGCCUACCACCCCCAACAGUCUCCAGUUUUGCUAGGGAUCUGCGGUGACCAAUAGGUUUCUCGACAAACAGCAGUGAUGUUCUCACAGCUUCCUCCACCAUUCUGCUAGGACCGAGCCUUUGAAGCAAACACCAUUAAAGCCUCAUCCCUAUGGCUGAGCAAAUAUGGCCCUAUGAGUUCUGUGUUCUCUUUCGCAUUCGAGCCAUCGUAUCAGCAUUCGUGGCAAGGGUGUGUGUUAGAGAUGCCUUGCAUGGUUGGGGCUCUUUGGUAGGGAGUAAAGUUCACUUCUUUUUAACUCUAUUUUUCAUUUCACACAGCCCCACACACA